GUUAAGGGUACAUCAAUAUCCCGUGUCCAUAAAUUUAGAGGUGACUGGAGAACUCUCACAUAAGCGGCCACCUCACUUCACUGGCUGGAUCAUGGGGCAGCUCUUUCCCAAGCCCGGCGAGUGCCUGCAUGCAAGAAGGCGGGAUUCCUUCUGCCAGCAGUUAGCAUGGCACCUGCUGUGUAAGCAUCUUAAACAUGUGCCUAGAUGCGGGAGGCCAGAUGCGCAAGAUGGACACUCGGCUCCUCCUUCGUCCCCGCCUCUCCUCGCUUCCAGGGUAGCAGCCUCAACAAGGGAAACUAUUGUUCCAGUGGAGGCUGCGAGGAUGUCGGUGAUUUACGCGCCGAGCUGUAGCUGCAAAAGGACAAGGGCAAGUGCCGGCCCGACCUAGGUGCACCCUGCCCGCUUGUGGUGGCCUCAGGGGUAAGAAAUCAGGACCCACCCAGUGAGAGAAAUAACCCAAGCUGUCAGCAACGCGGAAAGAAAUGGGCUAGCAACCUCUUAAAGCAUCCUCACGUACUGCGGCGAUGACUCUGUGCACAGACCAAGGAAGGAGAGAGGCCGCGGAAGUCAGGUAAAGUACUUCCUUGGUGGUCAG
rnacentral:lncRNA from 1 species